rnacentral:rRNA from 1 species
UUGUGCCAGCAGCCGCGGUAAUACGAAGGGGGCUAGCGUUGCUCGGAAUCACUGGGCGUAAAGGGUGCGUAGGCGGGUCUUUAAGUCAGGGGUGAAAUCCUGGAGCUCAACUCCAGAACUGCCUUUGAUACUGAGGAUCUUGAGUCCGGAAGAGGUGAGUGGAACUGCGAGUGUAGAGGUGAAAUUCGUAGAUAUUCGCAAGAACACCAGUGGCGAAGGCGGCUCACUGGUCCGGUACUGACGCUGAGGCACGAAAGCGUGGGGAGCAAACAGGAUUAGAU